CACCUCCAGAUCGCAUCUCCCUUCUCUUCUCCUCUACCUAUCAGCGCUGCAGCCUAGACCUCGCCGAUCGCCUCGACCCCGACGCGUCCACGCUGCUGCCUGCAAAUCGCCGGUCGCCUCGACCCCGACGCGCUGCUGCCUGCAACUGCAAGUAGCCGGUCGCCUCGACCCGUCGCGUCAGCGCUGCAGCCUGCACCUUGCCGGUAGCCUUGACCCCGACGCGUCCGCGCUGCUGCCUGCAAGUCACCGGUCACCUCGACCUCGUCGCCUCCGCACUGCCGCCUGCACAUCGCCGGUUGUGUAGACCCCUGUGCGCCCGAUCUACUUCCUGCAUAUCGCCAUUCGCCAACGCGAUUCCGUUGUUAUCGCAAUGAGGCUCAUAUGCAAGAAGAGGAACUAUGAAAGAAAAAGUACGAGUUAGCUACAAAAGCAAUGAAAGAUGAAGUUGAUGCCAGCAAUGACAGUGGCAUAGGAAAGGAUAUGGAUGAAUUUGAUGCUAUGAAGAAAUGUCAUUUUUUUACGAGCAAGUGAAACUGGUACUUGAAAAAAAAGUCCGAUGGCGUGGUGCAAGAACUGUCAGAAAUUAAACGGCUUAUGUUUGGUAGAUCUCCAAGUGAUGGAUCUCAUGAAAUCCAGCAUGAACAAGACCAAUGGUCCAUCGUAAACAUUUAGAAGCAUCCGAAGGAAUUGUAAUCGCCAAUGAAGAAUGAUAUCCAUUCAAGCAAUGAUGGUGUCCCUGGAUUGAAGAUUAAUAAGCAUUAUCUUUUCUAGUUUUCUCGUUUUCUGGUUAGACAUGAG